CAAGUCCUCUAUCCGGUAAGGUGUAGCGAACCGCCGGAGCCCCGAGUCAUGGGCUGCUGCUCGUGAGGGUAGUGGUUAAGCGUUGACAGGGGAACACACAGGCUCGGUAUUGAGCUCCGAAAUCAGGGUUGGGAAUGCUGACCGUGUUGGGUGAACGGGAAGGCAAAACUGAAUGCUGCGUCAACGCAAGUGGCAGGCAGGCCUGCCACAUCCAGAAGCU
rnacentral:ncRNA from 1 species